rnacentral:rRNA from 1 species
AUGUCCUCCUCCACCGCAAUCACCUCCUCUGGCCUCAACUACAACACAUCAGAACCCCUCAGCCGGACGAACUACGUUCUCUGGCGAGCCCAGGCGCGAUCCCAGAUACUGGGCGCCGGCCUGUUUGGCUACAUAGAUCAAACCAUAGAGGAGCCUCCCAAAACAAUCACUAGCAAAGAUAAAGAUGGUAAGGAACAGGUAGUUCCCAAUCCUGCCCAUAAUCCCUGGUUAGUUCAAGAUCAGCAAAUCGUAGCAUAUCUCCUUCGUAAUCUGUCCAAGGAGGUGCUAGUCCAAGUGGCUUCGCUUGAAUCAUCUCAUGCAAUCUGGUCGGCACUAGCAAAUAUGUUCUCU